UUAAGUAUGCAUCCUAUCUCCUUUAAAAGUGAUAGCAAAUUAAUUAAAAUCUUUUCGAAAUAAUUAUUUUGUGUUGUUAAAGUUAAGAUGCUUAGGUAAUUAGUUGAGUUUAUAAUUUGUCUCGUUUCCAUUUUAUCAAAUUUAAAUUAAUUGAAGUCAAAUUGAAUUUUUAUAAAAAUGAAGCAUGGACCAGAUUCCUUCAUCCCUUUUAAUUUCCUACAAGUUUAAGCCCAAUUUAAAUCAAUAACCCGACCCACUUCAUUUCCUAAUACCCAGUACUCUGUACUCUUCUCCCUCACAUACGCACAUAGCACAGCAAACCAAGAACGAGCCUUAAUUCCCCAAAUUUCCAAUUUUCGCAGCCUCAAUUUACUCUUCUCUCCCUAGAAUUCGUACAUCGUUGUGUGCAAGGCACGAGCCUUGGUACUAUUUGAAGCUUCCAGGAAGGUUCACCAACGAAUUUGGAGAUUUUGGUACUAUAUAAACCCACCCCUUUCACUGUUCACUGGACGGUUUAUGGGAGCUGAAGAAUUGAGAGCACCCCCGGAAAGGUUUUGGGAGCUCUUAGUUCGUAGUUUAAGAUUUUAUCUGCUCUCGAUUGUCCCAGUCACAUUUUGGUGGUAAAGUUCAUUGCCUCCAAAGCUCGAGCUCCAGUCGUUGCCCAGAACUAGGUAACCUUCGUGUCAUCUUAUUAUUUUCGCCUAAUUUCUGUUAUGUAGAAUUUUGUUCGGUCAUUAGUUGCUUUAGUUUAGAAAUUAUUUUCCUUUUCUUGUAUUCUUCAGUUUAAUUACGUCCCCCAGUAGCUUAAAUUUGAUGGUUUCUUUUUGCUUUGAUUAGUAGUAUGAAUAUCUAGAGUUUUGUUCUUUCUUUGGUCAUCGUUAAUCUUCGUAUGGUCCUUUGAAUAUUGAAACUUUUCAUUCUAUUUGGUUCAUCUUCUUACUGCCCAUCAGAUUGUGUUCAUAAAACUUUUUAAGCUUUCUCCUAAUAUGUGUAUGACCCUCUUAGCUAGUUAUCCUCUUCCGUUCAUAGUUUGUUUAAGUUCCCCUUUCCUAUGUGUUUGAGUUUCAACUGUUGUCGGCCCGCCGUGGUCCAAAAUUGUUCAUGUUUGGUAUGUUCUUGAGCUUAGUCGUCUAGAUGUUCUUAAUCGUGUAUUAGUUAUCAGGUUGAGAUUUAAUCAGUUUAAUAGUAUAAAUUUCCUGUACCUUGCUUAAAGUAUAGUUGCUGCUUGGGUUAAAAAGUGAAAAAUGCUUGGUUUUUUUUUCUUAUUUAUCUUUCCAAUUUUGAAUUCUUAAACUAUGAUUAUGUACAUCCUUAUAGCUUCACUUGGUUUUCUUAUUUACGAGUUCGGAUUGGGGGUGUGUCGUGAAUCCAUAGAUUCACGUAAGUUUCAUGCUCGUAUAAGGUUUUGUUCCAAUAUGGUCAACAUGGCAUUUUUAAAAUCUUGGUCCAGCUUUUGGAUAGCCAAUUAGGUUCUUUGUUUAGCUUAAUCUUGAAAGCCAUAAUCUGAUUGUUUGCUAUGUUUGCUGCUUACUAUUUGGCCUUAGUCCUUGUUGUUUACUGUUUAGCUUUAAUUUGAUUACUUUUGAGCAAAUUUCAGCUUGUGUAGUAAAAUUCCUCUUUGAGUUUUAAGUUUUGGCCUUUAUUAUUUGGUUGUCUGCACUCUUAUCAAGCCCAGCAUAUGUGCCUAUUACUAUUUUAGUAUUUUGAUAGCUUGCAAAUAUAUGAUUGAUUCAAUGAUUAAUGGUUAAGCUUGUUGGAGUCUUUGGAUUUUAAAAUUCCUUCUUUUAAGUAUAUAUCUGUCCUCCUAGUUUAAGAUAUAGGAUGCAUUUGCUCGAUAUGAAGAUUGCAUUCUAGAUUGGAUUAGUAGCUUCGGUUAUCUGGGAAAGACAUGCUUUCAAGUUCAAAUUAGAUUUAUUGUUGUGAUCCGGUUACUGCCUCUCUUAAAUACUUUCCAUUUCUUUGAAAUGUUGGAAUUUGUUAAAUUUUCCCAGUAACUCAUGCUGGAUGAAUUCAUGUUUCAAAUUUAUUUGCUUCUCUUACUUUCUAUGUGCUGAAGCGUCUUAAGAUAGCUAUAUAUGUGUGUUCAGUAUUCUUGCUCUUCUUAAAUGGUUACCUUAACUCUUUCUAAGGUUUUGUUAAGUUUGAUGGUAAAUAAUCAACUGUCCCCUUAUCUAUUUUCUGAUCUUCUUUUUUGCUUAAAUGUGCAACUGUAAUUUAUGAUUACAUUGUUUCAUGGUUUGAAUGUGAAAGAAAUUUGUUAGAAUUGGAAAUUAAUUGUUUUCUCUGUUUCCGUUGUCUUCUAAUUUCGUUGGGCAGAUUUGAGUUGAAUUAUUAAAUGUUGUUUGAGUUUGUUUACAUGCCAAGUUAGUAUCAGCCCUCUUCUUGAUUAUUUACUAAUUUGUUUUCUUUGUUUUCUUUGCAUGAAUUCUCCUUAUUUGAGUCCGAUUUGGACUCCCAUUCUCUUGCAUUUGAUCCUCUUCGAGUCAACCUCCAUGAAGUCGAGAAAGAGUAAAUAAUAUCCUACUGGGUUAGAACCCAAAAAUCAACAGUAACAGCAGCUCAAAAGGCUGAAACAUGAAGAGCAAGAUUGGGUUAAAACCCUUAAGGAAUGGGGCAGCAGUUCGCAACAAUUUCAGCCCCCCAAAAUGGUCGAAUAUGGGCUGGAAAUUUCAGUUUUAUAAUCCACCGUUUAUGUUUAUUUCCUCAGUAUUAUUUUCAUCAUGAAUGCUAACAUUUUUCUGAUGUUUUUACUGACUUGGAUGAAUCCUCAGAAGAGUUAACAUUAUUUAUCAAUUUCCUUUAUCAAAUUCCUUUCCAAGGGGAUGGUUCGCCUAA